rnacentral:lncRNA from 13 species
AAUACCUGUUUAAUACCUGUUCAACACUCUUUCAAUACCUGUUCAAUACCUGUUCAACACUCUUUCAAUACCUGUUUAAUACCCGUUCAACACUCUUUCAAUACCUGUUUAAUACCUGUUCAACACUCCUUCAAUACCUGUUUAAUACCUGUUCAAUACCUGUUUAAUACCUGUUCAACACUCCUUCAAUACCUGUUUAAUACCCGUUCAACACUCUUUCAAUACCUNNNNNNNNNNGAAUUCUAGACAUCAGUACAGAAUACAGCUAUAGAAUUCUAGACAUCAGUAUAGAAAACAGCUAUAGAAUUCUAGACAUCAGUACAGAAUAGAGCUAUUGAAUUCUAGACAUCAGUACAGAAUACAGCUACAGAAUUCUAGACAUCAGUACAGAAUACAGCUAUAGCUCUGAUGGCUCUGCUUAUUUGUUGGGUCAAGUUGCCCCUAAAUACUGGUCUUGGGCAGUUUUGCUAGCCUGGGUCCCACAUCUUUGUGUUAUCUUUCUAACUCCCAGCUGUGUGAGG